rnacentral:rRNA from 1 species
ACACAUGCAAGUCGAACGCUGAAGCCUGGCUUUUGUUGGGUGGAUGAGUGGCGAACGGGUGAGUAACACGUGAGUAACCUGCCCUCUUCUUUGGGAUAACGCCCGGAAACGGGUGCUAAUACUGGAUAUCACUUGCCUUCGCAUGGGGGUGGGUGGAAAGGGUUUUUUCUGGUGGGGGAUGGGCUCGCGGCCUAUCAGCUUGUUGGUGGGGUGAUGGCUUACCAAGGCUUUGACGGGUAGCCGGCCUGAGAGGGUGACCGGUCACAUUGGGACUGAGAUACGGCCCAGACUCCUACGGGAGGCAGCAGUGGGGAAUAUUGCACAAUGGGCGCAAGCCUGAUGCAGCGACGCCGCGUGAGGGAUGGAGGCCUUCGGGUUGUGAACCUCUUUCGCUCAUGGUCAAGCCGCAACUCAUGGUUGUGGUGAGGGUAGUGGGUAAAGAAGCGCCGGCUAACUACGUGCCAGCAGCCGCGGUAAUACGUAGGGCGCGAGCGUUGUCCGGAAUUAUUGGGCGUAAAGGGCUUGUAGGCGGUUGGUCGCGUCUGCCGUGAAAUCCUCUGGCUUAACUGGGGGCGUGCGGUGGGUACGGGCUGACUUGAGUGCGGUAGGGGAGACUGGAACUCCUGGUGUAGCGGUGGAAUGCGCAGAUAUCAGGAAGAA